rnacentral:rRNA from 1 species
CUGCAUGCCUAAGUACACGUACUUGAAUUACGAAACCGUAGACGGCUCAUUACAACAGCUAUAAUUUAAGAGACCUACGUUUACUCACAGGAUAACUGUGGUAAUUCUAGAGCUAAUACUUGUUUAUAUACUGCGACUUUUGGAGCAGUGGAUUUAUCAUUUCAAAACCAAUCACCCUCGGGUGUCUUGAGAUGACUCUAGAUAACUUUCCUAAUCGCAUGGUCUUUGUACUGGCGAYAUAUCUCUUAAAGUGGCUGACCUAUCAACUUUCGAUGGUAAGGUAAAAGCUUACCAUGGUUAUAACGGGUAACGGGGAAUCAGGGUUCGAUUCCGGAGAGGGAGCCUGAGAAACGGCUACCACAUCUACGGAUGGCAGCAGGCGCGUAACAUGCCCAAUAUCCGAAGGAUGAGGCUGUGAAGAUAAAUAACAAUAUGGUCCCUUUGGGAUUCAUAAUUGCAAUGAGAGAAUUGUAAAUACUUUGUCGAGAAACAAUUGGAGGGCAAGUCUGGUGCCAGCAGCCGCGGUAAUUCCAGCUCCAAUAGCGUAUAUUAAAUUUGUUGCAGCUAAAAAGCGCGUAGUUGAAAUUGAGGUGGGUAACUUAGGUUAUACUUAGUAUGGCUUUUGUUAUCGCCUUCCCAGUCGUGUACAUUGAUCAUUUCUCUCACGAGGUGUGGUUCGUGACCGACAUGUUUACUUUGAAAAAAUUAGRGUGCUUAAAGCAGGUGUACGCCUGAAUAUUGAUGCAUGGAAUAAUAAAAUAAGACUUCGGUUCUAUUUUAUUGGUUCUCGGAACUGAAGUAAUGAUUAAAAGAGACAGCCGGGGGUAUACGUAUGUUGAUGUGAGAGGUGAAAUUCUAAGACCAUCAGCAGACGACCUACUGCGAAAGCAUUUACCAAGAAUGUUUUCAUUAAUCAAGCACGAAAGUGAUAGGAUCGAAGGCGAUCAGAUACCGCCCUAGUUAUCACCAUAAACGAUGCCAACUGACGAUUCAUUARGGCAAUUUAUUUAGCCUUGUGAGARGUCACCGGGAAGCCAAAGUUAUUGGGUUCCGGGGGAAGUAUGGUUGCAAAGCUGAAACUUAAAGGAAUUGACGGAAGAGCACCACCAGCGGUGGAGCCUGCGGCUUAAUUUGACUCAACACGGGAAAUCUCACCCGGUCCGGACACUGUAAUGAUUGACAGAUYGAUAGCUCUUUCUUGAUUCGGUGGGUGGUGGUGCAUGGCCGUUCUUAGUUGGUGGAGUGAUUUGUCUGCUUAAUUGCGUUAACGAACGAGACUCUGUCCUGCUAAAUAGUACAUACGUGAACUUCUUUAGCGUAUGCUGACUUCUUAGAGGAAUUAAUGGCGUUUAGUCAAAUGAAAUGGAGCAAUAACAGGYCUGUGAUGCCCYUAGAUGUCCGGGGCCGCACGCGCGCUACAAUGGCAGUACCAACGAGUUUCUUUCCUAGCCUGAAAGGGUCGGGUAACCUGCUCAAUUACUGUCGUAUCUGGGAUAGUGGUUUGUAAUUAUUCCACUUGAACGAGGAAUCGCUAGUAAGUACAAGUCAUUAACUUGUGCUGAUUACGUCCCUGCUCUUUGUACACACCGCCCGUCGCUACUACCGAUUGAAUGGUAAAGUGAGAUUGUUGGAUUUGGCUGUAAGUGACGCAUGUUACUAUCGGCUGGAAAAGACACUCAAACUUGAUCAUUAGAGGAA